rnacentral:rRNA from 1 species
CUCAGAUUGAACGCUGGCGGCAUGCCUUACACAUGCAAGUCGAACGGCAGCACGGGUGCUUGCACCUGGUGGCGAGUGGCGAACGGGUGAGUAAUACAUCGGAACGUACCUUAUCGUGGGGGAUAACGCAGCGAAAGCUGUGCUAAUACCGCAUACGCCCUGAGGGGGAAAGCGGGGGAUCGAAAGACCUCGCGCGAUUAGAGCGGCCGAUGCCUGAUUAGCUUGUUGGUGGGGUAAAAGCCCACCAAGGCGACGAUCAGUAGCUGGUCUGAGAGGACGAUCAGCCACACUGGGACUGAGACACGGCCCAGACUCCUACGGGAGGCAGCAGUGGGGAAUUUUGGACAAUGGGGGAAACCCUGAUCCAGCAAUGCCGCGUGAGUGAAGAAGGCCUUCGGGUUGUAAAGCUCUUUUGUCAGGGAAGAAACACCGGCUCUAACACAGUCCGGGAAUGACGGUACCUGAAGAAUAAGCACCGGCUAACUACGUG